UCUGGGAUUAGAUACCCUGUUAUUCCACAGCUGAAAUCCGUCAUUUACUGCCUGGGGACUACGAGGGAACCUUUAAAACCCGAGGGACUUGGCGGUGCACUAUACCUCCCAGGGGAACCUGGCCCUUAAUUCGAUGAUCCACGAAUCUCUUACCUUUCCUUGUUUAAGCAUGCCCUGAUUGGGGCAUGUUUCUAUCAGUUUGCAUACCGCCGUUUUCAGCUUGUAUCGCGAGAUAAAAGAAACAGGCUAAUCAGCACUGUGAGCAUGGCCUGCUGGUGACAGGCAGGUGAUGGCACUGCUAGGAAUUCAGGUAAACGUGUAGCCAAUGGAAAGGGGGCGCUGGGUUACAAUUGAGGUUUGAAGUGGAUGGCAGCCCGAAGGGGCUGUUUGAAAGCGUACUUGGAAGUAAUGGCUUUGGGCAAUGAAGCCGUGAAUGGUGCUCUGGUGUGUGUACAAAUCGCCCGUCACUCUCUGA
rnacentral:rRNA from 1 species